rnacentral:rRNA from 1 species
UACAGAGGGUGCAAGCGUUAAUCGGAAUGACUGGGCGUAAAGGGCGAGUAGGCGGUUGUGUAAGUUAGAGGUGAAAGCCUGGGGCUCAACCCCAGAAUUGCCUUUAAGACUGCAUCGCUUGAAUCCAGGAGAGGUGAGUGGAAUUCCGAGUGUAGAGGUGAAAUUCGUAGAUAUUCGGAAGAACACCAGUGGCGAAGGCGGCUCACUGGACUGGUAUUGACGCUGAGGUGCGAAAGCGUGGGGAGCAAACAGG